rnacentral:rRNA from 1 species
GAUGAACGCUGGCGGCGUGCUUAACACAUGCAAGUCGAACGAGAAGUGGAGACGGAAACCUUCGGGCGGAAGACUUUAUUUCGAGUGGCGGACGGGUGAGUAACGCGUGGGUAACCUGCCUCAUACAGGGGGAUAACAGUUGGAAACGACUGUUAAUACCGCAUAAGACCACAGCACCGCAUGGUGCGGGGGUAAAAACUCCGGUGGUAUGAGAUGGACCCGCGUUCGAUUAGCCAGUUGGCGGGGUAACGGCCCACCAAAGCGACGAUCGAUAGCCGAUCUGAGAGGAUGACCGGCCACAUUGGGACUGAGACACGGCCCAAACUCCUACGGGAGGCAGCAGUGGGGAAUAUUGCACAAUGGGGGAAACCCUGAUGCAGCGACGCCGCGUGAGUGAAGAAGUAUUGCGGUAUGUAAAGCUCUAUCAGCAGGGAAGAAAAUGACGGUACCUGAGUAAGAAGCCCCGGCUAACUACGUG